AACCCCAUCUACAUGUCCUCCAACCCCAUCUACACGUCCUCCAACCCCAUCUACACGUCCUCCAACCCCAUCUACACAUCCUCCAACCCCAUCUACACAUCCUCCAACCCCAUCUACACAUCCUACAGCCCCAUCUACACGUCCUCCAACCCCAUCUACACAUCCUCCAACCCCAUCUACACGUCCUCCAACCCCAUCUACACGUCCUCCAACCCCAUCUACACGUCCUCCAACCCCAUCUACACGUCCUCCAACCCCAUCUACACGUCCUCCAACCCCAUCUACACGUCCUCCAACCCAUCUACACGUCCUCCAACCCCAUCCAUGUCCUCCAACCCAUCUACACGUCCUCCAACCCCAUCUACACGUCCUACAACCCCAUCUACACGUCCUCCAACCCCAUCUACACAUCCUACAACCCCAUCUACACGUCCUACACGUCCUCCAACCCCAUCUACACGUCCUCCAACCCCAUCUACACGUCCUCCAACCCCAUCUACACGUCCUACAACCCCAUCUACACGUCCUACAACCCCAUCUACACGUCCUCCAACCCCAUCUACACGUCCUCCAACCCAUCUACACAUCCUCCAACCCCAUCUACACUUCCUCCAACCCCCAUCUACACGUCCUCCAACCCCAUCUACACGUCCUACAACCCCAUCUACACGUCCUACAACCCCAUCUACACGUCCUCCAACCCCAUCUACACGUCCUCCAACCCCAUCUACACGUCCUCCAACCCCAUCUACACGUCCUACAACCCAUCUACACGUCCUACAACCAUCCUCCAACCUGCCAUCUACACGUCCUACAACCCAUCUACACGUCCUACAACCCCAUCUACACGUCCUCCAACCCCAUCUACACGUCCUACAACCCAUCUACACGUCCUCCAACCCCAUCUACACGCACAUCCUCCAACCCCAUCUACACGUCCUCCAACCCCAUCUACACGUCCUACAACCCCAUCUACACGUCCUACAACCCCAUCUACACAUUCCUCCAGCCCCAUCUACCUCCAACCCCAUCUACACGUCCUCCAACCCAUCUACACGUCCUCCAACCCCAUCUACACUUCCUCCAACCCAUCUACAUGUCCUCCAACCCCAUCUACACGUCCUACAACCCCAUCUACACGUCCUACAACCCCAUCUACACGUCCUCCAACCCCAUCUACACGUCCUACAACCCCAUCUACACGUCCUACAACCCCAUCUACACGUCCUACAACCCCAUCUACACAUCCUCCAACCCCAUCUACACGUCCUCCAACCCCAUCUACACUUCCUCCAACCCCAUCUACAUGUCCUCCAACCCCAUCUACACGUCCUCCAACCCCAUCUACACUUCCUCCAACCCCAUCUACACUUCCUCCAACCCCAUCUACACUUCCUCCAACCCCAUCUACACUUCCUCCAACCCCAUCUACAUGUCCUCCAACCCCAUCUCC
ensembl:lncRNA